rnacentral:lncRNA from 1 species
AAAUAAACAAUCCUAAGAGGUCCGGGUUCCAAGCUAAACACCUCCACCGUGGAGUUCCUCCUGGGGGUGUCCAAGAGGAAUCGCUUUAAGCUGAUAAGGUUGGACCAUCCCAAAACGCCAGCCCUCGCCAGCAGCCAGGAGGAACCUUGUAGAACCAGCACAAAUUUGCAGCUGGUGGCGUCUCUCAAAGUCAAACACGGACCUCCAUGUAGGGAUGUAUCCUGUACAUGUCCA